rnacentral:rRNA from 1 species
AUACGAAGGGGGCUAGCGUUGUUCGGAAUAACUGGGCGUAAAGCGCACGUAGGCGGAAUGUUAAGUUAGAGGUGAAAUCCCAGGGCUCAACCCUGGAACUGCCUUUAAUACUGGCAAUCUAGAGAUCGAGAGAGGUGAGUGGAAUUCCGAGUGUAGAGGUGAAAUUCGUAGAUAUUCGGAGGAACACCAGUGGCGAAGGCGGCUCACUGGCUCGAUACUGACGCUGAGGUGCGAAAGCGUGGGGAGCAAACAGGAUUAGAAACCCCGGUAGUCC